rnacentral:lncRNA from 1 species
GUUUUGGAACAGUUGUUUCCACGGUUGGGAUUUGUUUGGCUUGCCCAGGAGGAUGGGAAUAGUAAAGUCAGCUUGGGGGCUUGAUGCGGGACCCGAUCUUAUUCCAUAGCACUGUAGAACUUGCUGUGUAAUAUCCAGGUUGAUCAGCACAAUUUGUUGAAGAUUAUUUUUUCCCAUGUGUAUUUCCGACUUUGUCAAAAAUCAAGAAACACUUAUGCAGCUUGGAGGAUGGCAGAGAGGAAUAGAGGUGGCCUAGGAGAGAACUUCCCGAAGAGCUAAGGGGAUCCUGUCCACAUCUGGAGCAAAGACACCCUCCUGGUGCAGACAGCAAAAGGCCUGUUUCAAGCGAGGGAUGGCUAGUUCACGGGCAGGAGGAUGACAUCACAAGGACCAAUCUGUAAGCCAGAAGACUAAAAAGGCAAAAUUAGGUAGCAGGGGUUACCUGCUCAGAGCAGAGACAGAUGGGAAAUUUCUGUCAUCAUUAAGGUUUUAUUGACCAGCGCGGCUGGAAUUUCCCAGAGAGAGGAAUUAAUCUCGCUACCGACUGAGAGCAGACAUCCUGCUGGGAGUAGUUACAUAAAUUCUGUUGCUCAAA